GAUCAUUACUGUGAUUUACUACUACACUGCGUGAGCGGAACGAAAACAACAACACCUAAAAUGUGGAAUAUAGCAUAUWGUCGACAAGAGAAAUCUAMGAAAAAACAAACAAAACUUUCAACAACGGAUCUCUUGGUUCUCGCAUCGAUGAAGAGCGCAGCGAAAUGCGAUACCUAGUGUGAAUUGCAGCCAUCGUGAAUCAUCGAGUUCUUGAACGCACAUUGCGCCCCUCGGCAUUCCGGGGGGCAUGCCUGUUUGAGCGUCGUUUCCAUCUUGCGCGUGCGCAGAGUUGGGGGAGCGGAGCGGACGACGUGUAAAGAGCGUCGGAGCUGCGACUCGCCUGAAAGGGAGCGAAGCUGGCCGAGCGAACUAGACUUUUUUUCAGGGACGCUUGGCGGCCGAGAGCGAGUGUUGCGAGACAACAAAAAGCUCGACCUCAAAUC
rnacentral:misc_RNA from 1 species